rnacentral:lncRNA from 1 species
GUAGAUUGAUAAUGAUAAAGGGAUGGUAAAAUACAAUGGUUACAAUACUAAUUUUGGAAGGCAAAUUACAGUGCUAGAGUCUGUAGUAGUCUGCUAGAUGGCAAAUGCUAAAGCGGAAAUAUGUGAGUAAUAGUAGUAGUUGACAGAGAUUGUGAAGUACAGUAGUUGGCUACCUCGAGUACAUCUUGAUGCAAGUUUGCAACUGAAAUAGGUUAUGAGAGGGU